UAGUUACGGUCAAAUCAUUCAGAAAUCAGAGUUUGCAUACAUAAAGACCAACUAGUUACGGUCAAAUCUUUCAGAAAUCAGAGUUUACAUACAGAAAGACUGACUAGAUAUUGUCAAAUCCUUAAAAAAAUAAAGUUUACAUUCAGAGACACCAAUUAGCUACUGUCAAAUCUUUCAGAAAUCAGAGUUUACAUACAGAAAGACUGACUAGAUAUUGUUAAAUCCUUAAAAAAAUAAAGUUUACAUUCAGAGACACCAACUCGUUACUGUCAAAUCUUUCAGAAAUCAGAGUUUGCGUAAAGAAAACCCAACUAUAGUCAUGGGGCACUAAACUAACUCAGAAAGCCCACCCGCUCUUCCACAGCUACGGGAACUGAUUGGCUGGAUGAAAGGAGGAAGAAGUUACGAGUCAAUGUUAGCUUCGAGGGAGGGUGAGGGAAGGGGCGGGGCUUCUCGACCAAUUUACUGUACGAAGACUAUAAUCAUGGCGUAUGUUUACUGUUCCAAUGUUCCUCUAACCUCUAUGCAUGAUGCUCCCAGAUAGCUGAUGUGAUAUAGGCAGAACGUUACUAUUUUUAUAUCGUGCACAACUAGAAAGACAAUCAAACUAUGCGGUAUGCACUCUUUCACUCACCAGCAGCUCUUCCGUGCGAGUUUAUCUGUCGUGGAACGCUUUCGUGUCGUGUGUGCUGCCUGUGUUUGUUCCUGUAUACGCACACUUUUCUAUACCAUUUUACCGGAUAAUCCAAACUUUGUGACAUCUCGUGAUUGGGGAUUAUUUCGGAGUUUCAGUAACUGUGAAAUUUCAUGAUAGGGGGAUUUUAUUAGGUCUUCAGUUUUGGAAGGAGAGGUUUUUUGUAUAUUAAUAGAAAAAAUGAAGCUAGGUUUGUUUUUCUACAGCACUUUUGAUAUGAGAAUGUUAACCUGUAUUGUAGAAAAGAGGAGUUAGGUUAGUUUUUCUACAGUAAUUUUGAUUUGGGAAAGUUAACCUGUAUUAUAGAAAAAGAGGAGUUAGGUUAGUUUUUCUACAGUGGUUUUGAUAUGAGAAACUUAACCUGUAUUAUAGAAAAAGAGGAGUUAGGUUAGUUUUUCUACAGUGCUUUUGAUAUGAGAAAGUUAACCUGUAUUAUGGAGAAAGAGGAAUUAGUCAGUUUUUAUCUACAGCACUUUUGAUAUGAGAAUGUUAACCUGUAUUGUAGAAAAGAGGUGUUAGGUCAGUUUCUACAGCACUUUUGAUAUGAGAAAGUUAACCUGUACUAUAGAAAAAUUAGAAGUUAGUCAGUUUUUUCUACACCAAUUUUGAUCUGAGAAAGUUAACCUGUAUUAUGGAGAAAGAGGAGUUAGGUUACUUUUUCUACAGCACUUUGAUAUGAGAAAGUUAACCUGUACUAUAGAAAAAUUAGAAGUCAGUCAGUUUAUUCUACACCAAUUUUGAUCUGAAAAAGUUAUCCUGUAUUAUAGAAAACGAGGAGUUAGUCACUUUUUUCUAUACCGCUUUUGGUAUGAGAAAGUUAACCAAGGUAAUGAAAAGGUUAUGUCGAUUUUUUUGUACUUAUCGGAAGUUUAUGAUACACCCAGCGAUUAAUGUCUCUCGGGAAUGCCUAACUAAUCCUGUUGUGUUUUGAAAGUUUAUACAAAACCUACAUAGUUGAUAAAAGUGUUCCUAUGAAAAAAAUAACAGGUAAAUGGUGGCAAUGUAAGGGGAGAAUCUUAUGCAGGUUGAGAAUCAUUUAUCCGAAAUUCCAAAAUCAGAAAGUUUUUUUUUAAUGCUGAAAAUCGCAAAAGGGCCUGCUUAUUCCAAAAUCAAAAAGAAUCCGAAAUCCGCAACACUUUCACUUCCAGGAAUUCCGGAUAAGGGAUUCUCAACCUGUACUUAUAUCGAUCCCCAAUGAGUUUAUGAUAACCUAAUAAAUGUAUUCUGUGUGUAUAUAUUUUGGAACUCGGUCGAAUUCUAUCAAGCCAAUUCUAUUUCUGUAAAGUCUAAUUUAAUUCUGUCUUUUAUUCUAAUUCUGUCAGGCCAAGUUUAAUUCUAUCAGUGAAAUUCUAUCAAGCUAAUUCUAUUUCUGUAAAGUCUAAUUUAAUUCUGUCUUUUAUUCUAAUUCUGUCAGGCCAAGUUUAAUUCUAUCAGUGAAAUUCUAUCAAGCUAAUUCUAAUUCUAGCAUGUCUAAUCUAAUUCUAUCUCUGAUUCUAAUUCUGUCAGGCCAAGUUUAAUUCUAUCAGUGAAAUUCUAUCAAGCUAAUUCUAUUUCUGUAAAGUCUAAUUUAAUUCUGUCUCUAAUUCUAAUUCUGUCAGGCCAAGUUUAAUUCUAAUUCUAUCAGGUCAUGUAAUUUUAAUUCUAACAAGUUGUCUAAUUCUUAUUGUCAGGCCAAUUCUAAUUCUAAUUCUGUCAGGUCAUACUAUUCUAAUUCUAACAGUUUGUCUAAUUCUAAUUCUGUCAGGCCAAUUCUAAUUCUAAUUCUGUCAGGUCAUACUAUUCUAAUUCUAACAGUUUGUCUAAUUCUAAUUCUGUCAGGCCAAGUUUAAGUCUAAUUCUGUCAGGCCAAGUUUAAGUCUAAUUCUGUCAGGCCAAGUUUAAGUCUAAUUCUGUCAGGCCAAGUUUAAUUCUAAUUCUGUCAGGCCAAGUUUAAGUCUAAUUCUGUCAGGUCAUACUAUUCUAAUUCUAACAGUUUGUCUAAUUCUCAUUCUGUCAGACCAAUUUUAAAUCUAAUUCUAUCAUGCCUUUUCUAUUUCUGUGAGUCGUUUGUCUAAUUCUUAUUCUGUCAGACCAAUUUUAAAUCUAAUUCUAUCAUGCCUUUUCUAUUUCUGUGAGUCGUUUGUCUAAUUCUCAUUCUGUCAGACCAAUUUUAAAUCUAAUUCUAUCAUGCCUUUUCUAUUUCCGUCAGUCAAGUCCUAAUUCUAUCAGACCAAAUUCUAUCUUAUUACACACACACACAUGACUGUAAUAACCUUUCUUUUUACCUUACGCACAUAGCAGUUGUCUAUAUACACGUACAACAAAUCUUCUGGCAAAUGUUUAAAAUGUUUCUACGCCUUUUCUGUGUCUCGUAAUCUCACACUCACUAAUCCUGCUGAAUAUAACCGAACAUUUUGCACACUUACAACAUUAGGGAAUUUUAUUAUUUUACUUUAUUAUCAGAAAAGACAAGUUUCCUAUUUUUAUUCAUUCUAUAGUCCCUGUUCCCCAUGCCAUUGCUGCUGGUGAUGGAUUUUUUUAUAACUGUCCAUAUUUUUUACGAGUUGAAGAUUCAUUCCUCAAAGUUUAUACGGCGUUGAAUUUAUAAUGAUGAAUAAAAAGGUAUAAAGAAAC